rnacentral:snoRNA from 1 species
UAUGCUGGGGUGUAGAAAGGAAAGCAUGAUAGAAAUUCAUGAUCUGGUAUUUAUUUUCUUGGCUUUAUGCAAGUUAAACCUAAUAUUUCUAUUGACACAGUA